UCUGGUUGCAGUGUUGUGUGUAGGUUCUCCGUGGCGGACACGGGUACGAGUGGGCCCCGCUUUCGGCGCUGGUACCAGGAGCUCUGAGAGGAACGUGGGCGAGCUCGGAAGCUGCGUUCUGUUAAUGCUUCAGUAUCGUGUUAACUUUUUUCUUUUUCUUUUUUUGAGACAGGAUCUCGGGUUUCCCAAGUUGGCCUCAAACUUUCUCUUAGCUGAGGAGGACCUUGAACUUCUGAUCCCGCUACCCAAACCCACCUCCAGAGUGCUGGGAUUAAGG
rnacentral:lncRNA from 1 species